CAAACACGGAGUGGUACGGCUGUGGGACAGGGACAGGGGGGUCCCCCUUUGGACGCUCCCGAGGCAAGUCCUCCUGAGAGAGAGAGCUGCUUCUGCUACAACUGCAGCCUCGACUACAACUGUAGCUCCAACUACAACUGCAGCCAGAACUACAACCGCAGCCCUGACUACAACCGCAGCCCACACUACAACUGCAGCCAGAACUACAACCGCAGCCCUGACUACAACUGCAGCCAGAACUACAACUGCAGCCCUGACUACAACUGCAGCCAGAACUACAACUGCAGCCAUGACUACAAGUCUAGCUCCCACAACAGCAACUGCUGGUCCAAGCUCUAUUCCAGUCAAUAGCACUGAAAUUCUGAACACUACCAUCACAACUACAACAACUAUCAGCACUACAAGUGGUGCCAUGGCAACAAACCAAUCCCAGGAAGUCGUCACUUUUCUGUUUCCUCUUAUUCUGGUCUUUUACUUUCUGUCGACAGACACGAAGCUGCCUCAAUUUAAGGCAGAUAAAUAGAAGUCUUUAUAUGAUUUGGAAACUUGUUCUUUAAAUAUUUAUUAUGUUUUUUCCACUUGUCUGUUAUGGAUCAUCUCAUCUACUACACCAAAAAGCACUUAUAAAACUGAAAGCCAGAUAGAUAUACAAAUGAAAUGAAGUCCAAAUAGUCUGAAUGAAGAGCUUCUCAAUC